UACCGCUUAGUGUCGCUCCUUCCGAACUAAAAAAAAGCUAGACGGUAGGCUGCCGCAGGAAGGGGCUCCCGCCGCUCGGCCUCGAAGGGGACGCGCAGCAGCUGGUGGAGGAGUGACCGACCUGCGGCAGCUGGUGCUUGGGUCAUAAGAGGUUCGCGUGCGGCGACACACCCAGCGGCUCUGCGGCUCCGGCUCCGCCUCGAGGUCCGGUAGCUCCAGCGCAUGCGGCGGCUCAGGCCGUUCGCGGCGGUUGAGGGGCUGACCAGGUUCCGUGAGCGGGGGCGGAGGCAGACGGGUACCGGGUUGGGUCAGGGGAGCGGGGGGAGAACGGUUCACCUGAAGUGUAAGGUUUCCUCCCUGUCUUCUCGUCAGAUGGACUGUUCCUGUACCGUAUCCAACGUCUGUUUAUGACACUCGAUAGAGUCAAAUUGAUGCAUAACGAAGUUCUUUUAAAACUGACCUCAUUGUUUCCGUAUUGUCAUCUUUAAUGUCCGCUUACACCUACAACGUGUGAUAACACUUCCACAUCGUGACGGGUUAAUUUAAAGGUGAAGUGUAUAGAUGAAGGUAAAGAUGAUGUUUAAGUGGAAAAGUUGUCGUCUGCGCCCCGUCUCUCCAGUCUGCCGCUCCUCCUCGUCGUCGUAGUCUGCCGCUCAUCCUCGUCUUCGUAAUCUGCCGCUCCUGAGCUAGCCCCCCGCAACCGCAGCGGGUUGUCGUCGUCGCAGUCUCCGACCUCCCUUAGCGCCGCCGUAGUCUUCCUUCGCCGCCGGCCGCUGAACGGGUUUAGGGCGUGACCGCCAGCACCCGUGCUCCUUCACCCGUCUCCUACUCCCACGCCCGGCGUGGCCGAUCCCUGCGCUCGUCCCGCUGCUCCCUCCACGGAAGUCGGCACCUCCUCCGCGUGCAGGUCAACCAGCGGCGCCUCCUCGUCAGCGGAGGCACACCCGCCGCCGCGUCGAGCGGAAGCACGCCCGCCGCGUCCACCCGUCCCCGCGGCGUCUAACCGUCGUCGCCGCGUCCACCCGCCACCGCGUCGCCGCUGCGUCCAACCGCCGUCGCGCGACCCGAGAUGCCACCGACAGCUGCCGCGCGACCCGAACAAGGACGGCGCCCGCAGGCCUCCUCCUUCUUCGUUUCCCCAUUAAUCGCCCUCUAAAUUUUAGGAUUCCCGAAAAAACGUUUUUAGUGUUAUUUUGAUGUGGCACCUGUUGAAAAGGGCCUGCCUACCUCAUGAUGAAUUGGCGUAGCGACCCCUCCCCUUCCGUAGGUCUCCUAGUCCGUGGCCGCCGCGUUGAUGAAAGGGGAAAGGGGUAGAGCGUACUUGGGAUCGACAUGGAACGUUAUCUCAACAUUAGCGGUGGAUUUAAGUGUGAGUAAGCUCUAACAACGAUUCAUUAACUCUCCGAUCUAGC
rnacentral:rRNA from 1 species